CAUUUAAGCUGUUAUGAAUUCCAUCUUUGGCUUCUUUUGUGCUCCCCACAGAGGUAGUUCUGUUCAUGGUACUGCCACAUGUUAGCUGGCUGCUCCCCGUAAAGUUUUGGUCCAUGUCCGUGUUCUACUAAAACAAACCAUGAAGCUGGUUAAUAACAGUAACUAGUUAACACUGAGUUAACCCAUCGAGUGGCCUUUGGAGGACUAGACUGCUUAAAUCAUGAUGACCUUGAUGAUGAUGAUGAUGAUGAUGAUGAUGAUGAUUCCUUGAGCAAUAUCUCCUCCUCUAUGUCUUUGGCAUUAGGAAGAGUGGAUAAAAAGGACACAUCUCCACCUGGACAGGAAGUGAGAAGCAAGCUUCUUCCAGCUUUUCCUAGUCACCAAGCCUUUCAUGCCACAACCCUUUGGUUGUCCUGUACCUACCUGGCCACGACACCUUCUGCCAGGAAACAGCCACUCUUGCACAUGUGCAUUGCAGUGUGGAUUCUCAGGGUGCACCUGCAGGUGAAAUCCUCUUUCUUACUGAGCCAAGAAAAGUUUUAUUCUCCAAUAAAGGAACUAUAAACAUUAAUGAGUAGAUUGGGAAGUAUUAGAGGAAGGAAUGAUCACGGCUUCACUAUGUUUACUCAUAAAUAACUGCCUGGCAUUGGCAUUCUAGACGUAAGUAUAUUUCUAUAAGUGGUGGCUGUGGAUUGAAUUGUGUACUCCAGGAAGAUGUUGAAUUUUUCUCGGCCCCUUUGCUGGGCCCACAGCAAGAGCCACCCCACCUCUCUGGGCCCACAGCAAGAGCCACCCCACCUCUUGGGCAUGAUGGGAUGCAUCUGGCUUGUGCUCUGGCCUGCAGCUCCCAUGGCUGCCACAUCUGUGUGCUCAGCCCCCAUGUUCGGUGGGUCCCAAAUUCUUGUCCCGUAUCCAAGAAGAAUGAGGUCACACUGAAUAUUGAAGGGUUAUGAGAGCAGAGAAUUUUAUUGAGUGAGGAAACAGCUCUCAGCAGAGAGGGAAUGGGAAGGUUGAUUUGUCUCUCAGUGUGGCUGAGUCCGGGGUUUUUAUGGGCUCAGAAUAGGGGAGUGCAUGCUGAUUGGUACGCGAGUAUGCAAAGAAAGGCCAAAGCAAAAACACCACUCAAAGGUGAGCACAGCAGUGUAGAAAAACCGAUUAGGAAAGGUUAGGUAUAUAUAAUAUAGGUAAAGGGGAAUCAGAGGAAAGUGCACCAAAUAGGAAGACCAGUUCGCAAUCCAGUCCAUGGAUUUGACUUGCAGCUUGGCUUUCAGGCUUUAAACUGUCUUUGGCUUGGAGGUGGGGUUUCACCAGGGGCACUCCCCUAUCUGCCUAGCCAUUUGUCUACCUUGCGCCACUAUCAAAGUGUUAACCCAAGUAUCUGUGUAUGUGACUGACCUUUUUUGGAAAUAGGGUUUUUGCAGAUGAUCAAAUUAAGAUGAGGUCAUUAGAAUUUAGCCAUCACAAUGUAUACAUAAAACACUGUUGUAGGUUGAGCACGGUGGCUCAUGACUGUCAUCCCAGCACUUUGGGAGGCCAAGGUGGGCAGAUCACCUGAGGUUUGGAGUUCAAGACCAGCCUGACCAAUAUAGAGAAACCCUAACUCUACUAAAAAUACUAAAUUAGCCAGGUGUGGUGGUACAUGCCUGUAAUCCCAGCUACUCGGGAGGCUAAGGCAGGAGAAUCACCGGAGGUUGCGGUGAGCCGAGAUUGUGCCAUUGCACUCUAGCCUGGGCAAUAAGAGCGAAACUCUGUCUCAAAAAAACAAACAAAAAAGAAAGAAAAAAAAAAUGUGUCGUACACUGUAAAUAUACAUUUUUUUGUUCGUCAGUUAUACCUCAAUAAAAAGAAAGGAGGUCAUAAUUCAGUAUGACAGGUGUUCUGAUGAAAGGUGAAAUUUGGACUCAGAGACAGACAAGUACACAAGAAGAACACCAUGUGAAGACAGAAGUGGAGGCUGGGGGGAUGUGUGUGCAAUCCAAGGAGCACCAAAAUCACUAGUGAACCACCAGGAGCUGGGAGAGAGGCGUGGGCCAGUUUCCCCCUCAGAGCCUCAGAAGGAACCAACCACGCUGGCCCCUUGAUCUUGGACUUUCAGCCUCCAGAACUGUGAAGCAUUAAAUUUCUGUUGUUCUAAGUUGCCCAGGCUGUAGCUUAUAACAUCCCUAAUAAUACAAUAAAUUUUUCAGAAAGGGGCAAAAUAUUGACCUUUGUAGAGUGGAUUCGUUUUGUUAGGCCAUACCAAAAUAUCAUAGACUCGGUGGCUGAAACAACAGAAACUUAUUUUCUCAUAGUUCUGGCAAAGUGCAAGAUCAAGAUGUGGCCAUAUUUGGUUUCUCCUGAGACUAUGAGCCUCUCUCCUUGGCUUGGGGAUGGCCAUCCUCUUGCUCUCUGCCCACACAAUUGAGCCCGCAUGUCUGUUCCCCUAAGGACACCAGUCAUAUUGGAUCAGGGCCUCACUACAACAGCCUCACUUAAACUUAAUCACCUCUUUAAGUUUAAGUGGACCUUCUCUCCAAAUACAACUACAUUCUGAGGAAGUGGGUUGGUAUUUCAUCAUAUAAAUUUUGGGGGGACACAAGUCAGCCCGUAGCAGAGAGGAAAGGAUUGGGGCUAUGGCACGUGAAGCCCCUACGUAUGGAGGGUCAGGGCAUUUGAGAAGAGAGGACACGGAACAUCUAUCUGAACAAGCGAU
rnacentral:lncRNA from 1 species